UACGUAGGGACCAAGCGUUGUUCGGAUUUACUGGGCGUAAAGGGUGCGUAGGCGGCGCGGUAAGUCACUUGUGAAAUCUCUGAGCUUAACUCAGAACGGCCAAGUGAUACUGCAGUGCUAGAGUGUGGAAGGGGCAAUCGGAAUUCUUGGUGUAGCGGUGAAAUGCGUAGAUAUCAAGAGGAACACCUGAGGUGAAGACGGGUUGCUGGGCCAACACUGACGCUGAUGCGCGAAAGCCAGGGGAGCAAACGGG
rnacentral:rRNA from 1 species